AGUGAACGCUGGCGGUAGGCCUAACACAUGCAAGUCGAACGGCAGCACAGUAAGAGCUUGCUCUUACGGGUGGCGAGUGGCGGACGGGUGAGGAAUACAUCGGAAUCUACUUUUUCGUGGGGGAUAACGUAGGGAAACUUACGCUAAUACCGCAUACGACCUACGGGUGAAAGCAGGGGAUCUUCGGACCUUGCGCGAUUGAAUGAGCCGAUGUCGGAUUAGCUAGUUGGCGGGGUAAAGGCCCACCAAGGCGACGAUCCGUAGCUGGUCUGAGAGGAUGAUCAGCCACACUGGAACUGAGACACGGUCCAGACUCCUACGGGAGGCAGCAGUGGGGAAUAUUGGACAAUGGGCGCAAGCCUGAUCCAGCCAUACCGCGUGUGUGAAGAAGGCCUUCGGGUUGUAAAGCCCUUUUGUUGGGAAAGAAAAGCAGCAGGUUAAUACCUCGCUGUUCUGACGUUACCCAAAGAAUAAGCACCGGCUAACUUCGUG
rnacentral:rRNA from 1 species